rnacentral:rRNA from 1 species
UACGGAGGGUGCAAGCGUUAUCCGGAUUCACUGGGUUUAAAGGGAGCGUAGGUGGCUUUGUAAGUCAGUGGUGAAAUCUUAGGAGCUCAAACUCUAAAACUGCCAUUGAUACUGCUUAGCUUGAAUCACGUCGAGGUGGAUGGAAAUAUUACAUUGUAGCGGUGAAAUGACUUAGAUAUGUAAUAGAACACCGAUUGCGAAGGCAGUUCACUAGGCGUGUAUUGAACACUGGAGGACUCGAAAGCGACUGGGGAUCAA